rnacentral:rRNA from 1 species
UGUCUAAGUAUAAGCGAUCUUAUACGGCGAAACUGCGAAUGGCUCAUUAAAUCAGUUAUAGUUUAUUUGAUGGUCUCUCACCACUUGGAUAACCGUGGUAAUUCUAGAGCUAAUACAUGCGUCGAGUCCCGACUGUCGCGGAAGGGAUGUAUUUAUUAGAUUCAAAACCAAUGCGGGGCCCCGGUCCCGGUCUUUUGGUGAUUCAUAGUAACUGUUCGGAGCGCAGGGCCUCGUGCGCCGGCGCCGGAUCAUUCAAGUUUCUGCCCUAUCAACUGUCGAUGGUAAGGUAUUGGCUUACCAUGGUUGCAACGGGUGACGGAGAAUUAGGGUUCGAUUCCGGAGAGGGAGCCUGAGAAACGGCCACCACAUCCAAGGAAGGCAGCAGGCGCGCAAAUUACCCAAUCCCGACACGGGGAGGUAGUGACAAUAAAUAACAAUACAGGGCUUUCGUAAGUCUUGUAAUUGGAAUGAGAACAAUUUAAAUCCCUUAACGAGGAACAAUUGGAGGGCAAGUCUGGUGCCAGCAGCCGCGGUAAUUCCAGCUCCAAUAGCGUAUAUUAAAGUUGUUGCAGUUAAAAAGCUCGUAGUUGGAUUUCGGCGGCGCGGCGUCGGUCCGCCUGGCGGCGUGUCACUGGCGCCGCGCGGCUUUCUCUCGAGGGCCGCGCGUGCUCUUGAGUGAGCGUGCGCGUUACUCGGGACGUUUACUUUGAAAAAAUUAGAGUGUUCAAAGCAGGCUUUGGGGCUUGAAUACAUUAGCAUGGAAUAAUGGAAUAGGACGUCGGUCCUGUUUUGUUGGUUUCCGGGACCGAGGUAAUGAUUAAUAGGGACAGUUGGGGGCAUUCGUAUUCAAUUGUCAGAGGUGAAAUUCUUGGAUUUAUGGAAGACGGACGCAUGCGAAAGCAUUUGCCAAGGAUGUUUUCGUUAAUCAAGAACGAAAGUUGGA